UGCCUACGGGACGCAGCAGUGAGGAAUAUUGGUCAAUGGGCGGUAGCCUGAACCAGCCAUGUAGCGUGAAGGAUGAAGGUUCUAUGGAUUGUAAACUUCUUUUAUAAAGGAGUAAAGUGAGGCACGUGUGCCUUUUUGUAUGUACUUUAUGAAUAAGGAUCGGCUAACUCCGUGCCAGCAGCCGCGGUAAUACGUAGGAUCCGAGCGUUAUCCGGAUUUAUUGGGUUUAAAGGGAGCGUAGAUGGGUUGUUAAGUCAGCUGUGAAAGUUGGCGGCUCAACCGUGAAAUUGCAAUUGAUACUGGCG
rnacentral:rRNA from 1 species